UACAGAGGGUGCAAGCGUUGUUCGGAAUUACUGGGCGUAAAGCGCGUGUAGGCGGCGAUAUCAGUCGGAUGUGAAAUCCCUCGGCUUAACCGAGGAAGUGCAUCCGAUACUGUAUGGCUUGAGUGCCGGAGGGGAUGGCGGAAUUCCUGGUGUAGAGGUGAAAUUCGUAGAUAUCAGGAGGAACACCUGUGGCGAAGGCGGCCAUCUGGACGGUAACUGACGCUGAGACGCGAAAGCGUGUGUAGCAAACAGG
rnacentral:rRNA from 1 species